rnacentral:lncRNA from 1 species
CCCCCUGAAAUAACUUUUAGUUUACCCCUUUUAAAAUACCCCUGAAAAAAAACUAAGUCCAAACCUUAAAAAAAAUUUGGGCAGCACUUCCCCUAGGAAAUUAGCUUUUUAAACCCAAUUCCCCUAUUUCAGGACCAAAAGUUUGGGAUUGUCAGAGAAAGAAAUUGAGAAGAUGUGGGGCAGAUUCAUUUAUAGGAACAUGAACCAAACAUCAUCCCAAACCUACAGAUAGACAAAUAUAUUAUAUAUAACUGUACCUGGCAGGACACUUUCUUUUGGCAAAGCAUCUGUGGCUUUUCAUCAGAAUGUCUAAAGCGUUGAUUGGCUGACCAGUUUCAGAUGGAUUAAUAUCAGGUUCAUUUUGAAGAAGGGUCUGGCAUGAAAAUUUGAUAAAUUUAAUUCCAAAAGAUUGCAUUGUUCCAACAGUUGUGUUAUUGUCAUCAAUCUCGGUCCAGUCAUUUUUGCCGGUGGCCGAGCACAAAAUUUGUGUUGUGUAUUUUUUUUCAUCGAUGUUAGACAUUGGAUGAAUUUCAUUGCUAAUGUCAAAAAAGGUGUUACUUUCUGUAAAAUUUAGAAAUAUUUUUUUCUCCGCGAAAUGGUCACACUUUCCGCGUUGAACAUUGAAUAGGACGCGUUGUGUUGCCAUGUUCAAACACUGACAAACGAAAAUAACUACUGCGCAUGCUCCCGCAUACAGUUGGAAGGCAAACGCCUGAAUCUGACAGAUAGAGGUCAAUUUGUCGACAAAAAAAGAACCCGUAUGUAAAAUGUUUACGCCCACAAACAGCGCCACCUAUAUUUUUUUCUACGGCAUCUUUGAGAACGAUGUCCCAUUCUGUAGUAAAUUAAAACAUUAAAUUAACUAAAACAUAGAAAAGUAAGUGUAAAACACAAAUUGAAAGAUAUAUUUGCAGAUGACUGUUUAUGCAUGAUACGCUGGCAAUGUGCGCAAUGUCCUUUAAUCCAAGACUGAAAAUUAG